rnacentral:rRNA from 1 species
CCCUUAGAUGUUCUGGGCCGCACGCGCGCUACACUGACAAAGUCAACAAGUUUUUGCCUUAGCCGAAAGGUUUGGGUAAUCUUUGGAAACUUUGUCGUGCUGGGACUUGACGAUUGUAAUUAUUUGUCACAAACGAGGAAUUCCUAGUAAGCGCAAGUCAUCAACUUGCAUUGAUUACGUCCCUGCCCUUUGUACACACCGCCCGUCGCUCCUACCGAUUGAAUGUUCCGGUGAACACUUUGGAGCUUGCGUUCUUGAGGAAACUCGUGCAACGAUGUAAGUAGUGAAGCUGUGUAAACCUUAACAUUUAGAGGAAGGAGAAGUCGUAACA